UGAGGAUGUUUUCUUUUCUAACAUUAACUAGUUUGUUGUUUUUUGUGUUUUUGUUUUAGAAUUUCUUUUGUUAGGAACUAUAGCAUUAGAAAAGGUGACCAUGAACAAUUUGAUGGCAGCCAUAAUGGGUAUGAAACAUGACCUUAGUAGCUGAAUAGAGAGAAUGGAAAAAAUAAUGGACCGAAUAGAAGGAAGAAUGGAAG
rnacentral:lncRNA from 1 species